UAGGGAAUCUUCCACAAUGGACGCAAGUCUGAUGGAGCAACGCCGCGUGAGUGAAGAAGGUUUUCGGACCGUAAAGCUCUGUUGUUGGUGAAGAAGGAUAGAGGUAGUAACUGGCCUUUAUUUGACGGUAAUCAACCAGAAAGUCACGGCUAACUACGUGCCAGCAGCCGCGGUAAUACGUAGGUGGCAAGCGUUGUCCGGAUUUAUUGGGCGUAAAGCGAGCGCAGGCGGAAGAAUAAGUCUGAUGUGAAAGCCCUCGGCUUAACCGAGGAAUUGCAUCGGAAACUGUUUUCUUGAGUGCAGAAGAGGAGAGUAGAACUCCAUGUGUAGCGGUGGAAUGCGUAGAUAUAUGGAAGAAUACCAGUGGCGAAGGCGGCUCUCUGGUCUGCAACUGACGCUGAGGCUCGAAAGCAUGGGUAGCGAACAGGAUUAGAUACCCUGGUAGUCCAUGCCGUAAAACGAUGAGUGCUA
rnacentral:rRNA from 1 species